rnacentral:rRNA from 1 species
GACGAACGCUGGCGGCGUGCUUAACACAUGCGAGUCGAACGAACAGGCCAUGCUUUUGUGGCUCGCUCGAGUGGCGAACGGGUGAGUAACACGUGAGUAACCUGCCCCUAACUUUGGGAUAACUUCUGGAAACUGCGGCUAAUACCGGAUAGGAGCUCCUGCUGCACGGUGGGGGUUGGAAAGUGACGGCGGUGGGGGCUGGUCUCGCGGCUUAUCAGCUGGUUGGUGGGGUAGUGGCUGACCACGGCUUCGACGGGUAGCCGACCUGGGAGGGUGGCCGGCCACCUUACGCCUGCGAUACGCCGCAGCCGCCUACGGGACGCAGCGGUGGAGAGUCUUACACAGCGGGCGGGAGUCAGAUGUGAAGGCGCCGCGUGCGGGAUACCGUGUUUCUGGUUGUAAACCAAUUUCGCCUUUGCCAUGGCGUGAGUGACGGUACUGAGUGAGGAAGCAACGGCUAACUACGUG